rnacentral:tRNA from 1 species
AGCAGCGUGGCUCAGUGGAAAGAGCACGGGCUUGGGAGCCAGAGGUUAUGGGUUCGAAUCCCGGCUCUGCCA